CUCAUCCAGCAGCUCCUGGAUAAUUUACGAGGAGCCUCCGCUGGAGGAAUAUUUCCCAUAAUCAAGACAGGACUGGGACAAAUGAGAACAUCCCCACGUUUCCAGCAGGCUGUGCACAACGUGUGUGACUCUCACAGUGACCACAGACCUCAGGAACCUCAGAGCGACCCACAGUAAUGAAAAAUGCCAGAACUUGGGAGAACUGGAGUUGUGACUGCUUGGAUGGGCUUCAUUUUCAAAGCUUCACCGUUCGUGCCUUCCUUACCCCAAGGUUUUCAAACAGAAAUAUACACACACCUUAACAACAAAAGGCUAUAAUGACUGCAUUG